GCGGCGGACGGGUGAGUAACACGUGGGCAACCUGCCCGCAAGACCGGGAUAACUCCGGGAAACCGGAGCUAAUACCGGAUAACACCGAAGACCGCAUGGUCUUCGGUUGAAAGGCGGCCUUUGGGCUGUCACUUGCGGAUGGGCCCGCGGCGCAUUAGCUAGUUGGUGAGGUAACGGCUCACCAAGGCGACGAUGCGUAGCCGGCCUGAGAGGGUGACCGGCCACACUGGGACUGAGACACGGCCCAGACUCCUACGGGAGGCAGCAGUAGGGAAUCUUCCGCAAUGGGCGAAAGCCUGACGGAGCGACGCCGCGUGAGCGAAGAAGGCCUUCGGGUCGUAAAGCUCUGUUGUGAGGGACGAAGGAGCGCCGUUCGAAGAGGGCGGCGCGGUGACGGUACCUCACAAGAAACCCCCGGCUAACUACUUGCCACCACCCGCGGUAAUAC
rnacentral:rRNA from 1 species